rnacentral:rRNA from 1 species
CAGCCGCCGCGGUAAUACGUAGGCAGCGAGCGUUGUUCGGAAUUACUGGGCGUAAAGAGUGUGUAGGCGGUGCUAUAAGUUCGGUGUGAAAUCUCCCGGCUCAACUGGGAGGGUGCGCCGAAAACUGUAGUGCUCGAACGUGGGAGAGGAAAGCGGAAUUCCUGGUGUAGCGAUGAAAUGCGUAGAUAUCAGGAGGAACACCUGCGGUGUAGACGGCUUUCUGGACCAUUGUUGACGCUGAGACACGAAAGCGUGGGUAGCAAACAGGAUUAGAUACCCCGGUAGUCCCUGUCUCUUAUAC